rnacentral:rRNA from 1 species
AUUGAACGCUGGCGGCAGGCCUAACACAUGCAAGUCGAGCGGAGCGGCGGACGGGUGAGUAAUGCCUAGGAAUCUGCCUGGUAGUGGGGGAUAACGUCCGGAAACGGGCGCUAAUACCGCAUACUAGCAGAUGAGCCUAGGUUGGAUUAGCUAGUUGGUGGGGUAAAGGCCUACCAAGGCGACGAGCCGUAACUGGUCUGAGAGGAUGAUCAGUCACCCUGGCACGGAGAUACGGUCCAGUCUCCUACGGGAGGGAGCAGUGGGGAAUUGUGGACAAUGGGCGAAAGCCUGAUCCAGCCAUGCCGCGUGUGUGAAGAAGGUCUUCGGAUUGUAAAGCACUUUAAGUUGUGUGGCGUUACCAACAGAAUAAGCACCGGCUAACUCCGUGCCAGCAGCCGCGGUAAUUC